CAGCUAGCCCAAUCACCCAAUAACUAAACAAUAUAAAUAAAACAAAAUUAGCCUAACACCAAAAAUUAAAUCAUUCUUUUACCUUAGUAUGGGCGACAGAAAAGGUUACACCUGGAGCAAUAGAAAAAGUACCGCAAGGGAAAGCUGAAAGAGAAAUGAAAUAACUUAUAUAAGCACUAAAAAGCAAAGAUUAAAUCUUGUACCUUUCGCAUCAUGAUUUAGCCAGUAUACCCAAGCAAAGAGACCUUUAGUUUGAAACCCCGAAACCAAGUGAGCUACCCCGAGACAGCCUAUUAAGGGCCAACCCGUCUCUGUGGCAAAAGAGUGGGAAGAGCUCCGGGUAGAGGUGACAAACCUACCGAACUUGGUGAUAGCUGGUUGCCUAAGAAAUGAAUAGAAGUUCAGCCUCGUUCUCCCCAAAUCAAAAAGUAAAAAGAUACUAAAGGGAAACAUACGAGAGUUAGUUGAAGGGGGUACAGCCCCUUUAACGAAGGACACAACCUUUCCAGGAGGAUAAAGAUCAUAAUACAUAAGACAUCCUGUUCUAGUGGGCCUAAAGGCAGCCAUCUAAACAGAAAGCGUUAAAGCUCAGACAGAAAUAAGUUUAUUAUUCCGACAAGAAAUCUUACUCCCCUAAUAUUAUUAGGCCAGCCCAUGCCCACAUGGGAGAGACUAUGCUAAAAUGAGUAACAAGAAGGCAAGCCCUUCUCCAAGCACAAGUGUAAGCCAAACCGGACUAACCAUUGGCAAUUAACGAACUCAACCCAAGAGAGCAAUGUGGACUAUAACAAGACCAGGAAGAACCCACAACCGACCUAUCGUUACCCCCACACUGGUGUGCUAUUAACGGAAAGACUAAAAGAAGGGGAAGGAACUCGGCAAACACAAGCCUCGCCUGUUUACCAAAAACAUCGCCUCCUGCAACACAACCAAGUAUAGGAGGUCCAGCCUGCCCAGUGACUACAAGUUCAACGGCCGCGGUAUUUUGACCGUGCAAAGGUAGCGCAAUCACUUGUCUCUUAAAUAGAGACCUGUAUGAAUGGCUAAACGAGGGCUUAACUGUCUCCCCCCUCCAGUCAGUGAAAUUGAUCU
rnacentral:rRNA from 1 species